rnacentral:pre_miRNA from 1 species
GCCAAGGUGCAAGCGAGCUGGACAGUAGUAAUGAAAAUAAUUAUUUUCAUCAUUACUGUCCAGCUUGCUUGCACCUUUGC